rnacentral:rRNA from 1 species
GGUUAAGCGACUAAGCGUACACGGUGGAUGCCCUGGCAGUCAGAGGCGAUGAAGGACGUGCUAAUCUGCGAAAAGCGUCGGUAAGGUGAUAUGAACCGUUAUAACCGGCGAUGUCCGAAUGGGGAAACCCAGUGUGAUUCGUCACACUAUCGUUAACUGAAUACAUAGGUUAACGAGGCGAACCGGGGGAACUGAAACAUCUAAGUACCCCGAGGAAAAGAAAUCAACCGAGAUUCCCCCAGUAGCGGCGAGCGAACGGGGAGCAGCCCAGAGUCUGAAUCAGCUUGUGUGUUAGUGGAACGGUCUGGAAAGUCCGACGGUACAGGGUGAUAGUCCCGUACACCAAAAUGCACAGGCUGUGAACUCGAAGAGUAGGGCGGGACACGUGGUAUCCUGUCUGAAUAUGGGGGGACCAUCCUCCAAGGCUAAAUACUCCUGACUGACCGAUAGUGAACCAGUACCGUGAGGGAAAGGCGAAAAGAACCCCGGCGAGGGGAGUGAAAAAGAACCUGAAACCGUGUACGUACAAGCAGUGGGAGCACCUUCGGGUGUGACUGCGUACCUUUUGUAUAAUGGGUCAGCGACUUAUAUUCUGUAGCAAGGUUAACCGUAUAGGGGAGCCGCAGGGAAACCGAGUCUUAACUGGGCGUUAAGUUGCAGGGUAUAGACCCGAAACCCGGUGAUCUAGCCAUGGGCAGGUUGAAGGUUGGGUAACACUAACUGGAGGACCGAACCGACUAAUGUUGAAAAAUUAGCGGAUGACUUGUGGCUGGGGGUGAAAGGCCAAUCAAACCGGGAGAUAGCUGGUUCUCCCCGAAAGCUAUUUAGGUAGCGCCUCGUGAACUCAUCUUCGGGGGUAGAGCACUGUUUCGGCUAGGGGGUCAUCCCGACUUACCAACCCGAUGCAAACUACGAAUACCGAAGAAUGUUAUCACGGGAGACACACGGCGGGUGCUAACGUCCGUCGUGAAGAGGGAAACAACCCAGACCGCCAGCUAAGGUCCCAAAGUCAUGGUUAAGUGGGAAACGAUGUGGGAAGGCACAGACAGCCAGGAUGUUGGCUUAGAAGCAGCCAUCAUUUAAAGAAAGCGUAAUAGCUCACUGGUCGAGUCGGCCUGCGCGGAAGAUGUAACGGGGCUAAACCAUGCACCGAAGCUGCGGCAGCGACACUAUGUGUUGUUGGGUAGGGGAGCGUUCUGUAAGCCUGCGAAGGUGUGCUGUGAGGCAUGCUGGAGGUAUCAGAAGUGCGAAUGCUGACAUAAGUAACGAUAAAGCGGGUGAAAAGCCCGCUCGCCGGAAGACCAAGGGUUCCUGUCCAACGUUAAUCGGGGCAGGGUGAGUCGACCCCUAAGGCGAGGCCGAAAGGCGUAGUCGAUGGGAAACAGGUUAAUAUUCCUGUACUUGGUGUUACUGCGAAGGGGGGACGGAGAAGGCUAUGUUAGCCGGGCGACGGUUGUCCCGGUUUAAGCAUGUAGGCUGAUUGUCCAGGCAAAUCCGGAUAAUCAAGGCUGAGGUGUGAUGACGAGGCACUACGGUGCUGAAGUAACAAAUGCCCUGCUUCCAGGAAAAGCCUCUAAGCAUCAGGUAACAUCAAAUCGUACCCCAAACCGACACAGGUGGUCAGGUAGAGAAUACCAAGGCGCUUGAGAGAACUCGGGUGAAGGAACUAGGCAAAAUGGUGCCGUAACUUCGGGAGAAGGCACGCUGGUGUGUAGGUGAAGUCCCUGCGGAUGGAGCUGAGACCAGUCGAAGAUACCAGCUGGCUGCAACUGUUUAUUAAAAACACAGCACUGUGCAAACACGAAAGUGGACGUAUACGGUGUGACGCCUGCCCGGUGCCGGAAGGUUAAUUGAUGGGGUUAUCCGUAAGGAGAAGCUCUUGAUCGAAGCCCCGGUAAACGGCGGCCGUAACUAUAACGGUCCUAAGGUAGCGAAAUUCCUUGUCGGGUAAGUUCCGACCUGCACGAAUGGCGUAAUGAUGGCCAGGCUGUCUCCACCCGAGACUCAGUGAAAUUGAACUCGCUGUGAAGAUGCAGUGUACCCGCGGCAAGACGGAAAGACCCCGUGAACCUUUACUAUAGCUUGACACUGAACAUUGAGCCUUGAUGUGUAGGAUAGGUGGGAGGCUUUGAAGCGUGGACGCCAGUCUGCGUGGAGCCAACCUUGAAAUACCACCCUUUAAUGUUUGAUGUUCUAACGUUGGCCCCUGACCGGGGUUGCGGACAGUGUCUGGUGGGUAGUUUGACUGGGGCGGUCUCCUCCCAAAGCGUAACGGAGGAGCACGAAGGUUAGCUAAUCCUGGUCGGACAUCAGGAGGUUAGUGCAAUGGCAUAAGCUAGCUUGACUGCGAGCGUGACGGCGCGAGCAGGUGCGAAAGCAGGUCAUAGUGAUCCGGUGGUUCUGAAUGGAAGGGCCAUCGCUCAACGGAUAAAAGGUACUCCGGGGAUAACAGGCUGAUACCGCCCAAGAGUUCAUAUCGACGGCGGUGUUUGGCACCUCGAUGUCGGCUCAUCACAUCCUGGGGCUGAAGUAGGUCCCAAGGGUAUGGCUGUUCGCCAUUUAAAGUGGUACGCGAGCUGGGUUUAGAACGUCGUGAGACAGUUCGGUCCCUAUCUGCCGUGGGCGCUGGAGAAUUGAGGGGGGCUGCUCCUAGUACGAGAGGACCGGAGUGGACGCAUCACUGGUGUUCGGGUUGUCAUGCCAAUGGCACUGCCCGGUAGCUAAAUGCGGAAGAGAUAAGUGCUGAAAGCAUCUAAGCACGAAACUUGCCCCGAGAUGAGUUCUCCCUGAGACUUUAAGUCUCCUGAAGGAACGUUGAAGACGACGACGUUGAUAGGCCGGGUGUGUAAGCGCAGCGAUGCGUUGAGCUAACCGGUACUAAUGAACCGUGAGGCUUAACCUU